UGGCGGCCCCCACCCACGAGGCUGCCCCGCGCCAGCUUCUGCAGCUCGACGGGCACCACGGCGCUGGGGCAGUGCUUCUCGAUGUAGUCCUGGAAUCCCUGCACUCCCAUGCAAACGCCUGCCUCAGCUGCCAGCAUGCUCCUACAAACCUCCCAGCCUGCACAGAGCACCAGAGCUGAACUCAUGCCAGGAAAGUGCUUGUCUCGUAAGAGAGCUCUGCAUGUUUCAGUUAUGGAAGAGAAAACGGUGCAAAAAACCUGUGUCAGAGGAAGAAUGGCAGAACUAGCCCACUUCAACAUCUCACACAGAUGAAAAAUAGCUCAGAAUUAAAUACAGGUUGGAAGCUUGUCUAAACUGGUCUCUGCUGCAUAUUCCAACAAUUACAAACAUACUUGAAACCAGACAACGUUGUUUUCAUCUGGUAAGGGAAUUGGUUCCCAGAUCAGGAUGAUACAUGAAGAAAAGCAUGCAGAUAAGGCAUCGUUUGCCCAAACAUGUCAUCAGAAACUGACUUCCUAAAGGAACAGGAGGGAGAGUCCUGCAUGCCAGGGCAGCCAGGGCACACCAAUCAUCCACGUGCCAUCCCUGCUUCAGCUCAGGACUCUGUCUUCUGAACCUCAGGUCACCUCCCAACCAUGGUGGUACUGGCUUACCUGGGACAUUUUUGGAGCUUAACAUCAUAACAAGUGUGUCUCUGCAAAGCACUCUGUUUUUAGAAAAACAUCACAUUUCCACAAAGAUACUUUCCCGAUUUCUUUUCCUUAAAUCUGAGUUAUAAUGAGGGUAAGAGGUAUGUGAUUCCUUAAACCUAAAGGAGACAUCCAACGGAAAAAAGCAAUCUUAAUUCUAAAAUGACUGUUUCAGUGAUGACUUGUAAUCUGUGCAGUUUUAUCUGCUUGAUAAUACCCCGCUUAGUGUUAGAUCUAAAAUAAGAAUCAAAUGAGAAAAUCAUGCCUUUGAUAUGCAUUAAGUUAUUCAGUUAGUAAAUUAGUGAAUCUUAUCCUGAGUGUUAUUAGCUAUUAGCAUGUUACACUUCUUGAUGUUGCUCAUGAAGAAUGCAUAUGAAAAUGAGGAAAAAAAUUCCCUUUUGAAGUUCCUGCCACUUGAGUUGUUGACAUUUCUUUUAAUUGGUGAAUGUCCUCUUGAAUGCAGUAUUCCACUGUCUGGUUUUAUGAGAGAUUCUUCAUUUUUAAUUUGUUCUCCUAUUGAUUAGACUUUUUUUGAAUGGGUAGCUCUCAAGAUAAUUAGCCUUUCAAGGGAACCAUGUUCUCCUAAAUAGUUAUUAAUGAGUAUGUCCCCCAUUCAGUACACUUAAGCCUUUUUCAUUAGGGGAAUUUCAAGCUUACAUGUGGGCUGGUUGAACCAGGCCUGGUACCACCAAAGACAGUGGAAAUCACUGCAGAUUUCAGGAAGAACGAGAUCAGACCCUGGGAGUGAAGAAAGAUCAUUUACAUUCUCUUUGUCUUUGGCAGAUGUCUGUUUUCUAGGAGUACUUACAAACAGUUCUUCAGGAUACAGGGUAGAUUGAGAAGGGGGUGAGAUGAGUGAAAGAAAACAAGGUGAUUCCAUGUGAACCAGGACUCCAUCUUCAGAGGAUCCCAUCAGCUGCUGCAGCUGGGCCAAGGAGCCUCAAUUAGUCUGCCUGGUUCCCAGUGCUAGAAGUGUACAGCUCCCUUUUCUUUAAAGCCAAUGUAUGUUACACAAACAUAAACCCCUAAAACCAACAAUCAUUCUUUAUCUGAAGUUACUUUCCCACUAAAGAUCCAAGGAUCUUCAGUCAGAAUAUGCUUUAGUUUAGGAAUUGUUGCCAGUGUUACCCUCACAGUUAAGAGCACACUGGAUAAUAAAAUACUCCAACAUGUCACACACAGCUACAGUGACCUGAUCCCAUUCUGGGUCCUGCUUGGCUCCCCUAAGCCAGUUCUUGUCCCUUCCCUUCCUCUCGUCCUUAACCUUUAACUCUGCCCCGAGCAUUGCCAGGUAUCCUCCUGCUGAAAUACAUUCUUACUUUUGUAUGUCACACUCUGUCCUUUCUGUGUGCUCUUUCAAAACAGACUGAAACAUCCUCAUCCCUUCUGUGCCUCCCCAUAGCUCUCCUGCUGUUUUUCCCUACUACCUCCACACUUGACCAUUAAGGAAUCUCUACCACAAACAUGGAUUUUCCUGCCAUUCCUGGACAGACUUGUCUUCUAUCCAAACCAGAAUCUCGUGGCAUUUCUCUAUGAAGGUGUAGCUGUCUGAUCAAGGACAGUGUCCUAAAGCAGGGGGGUUUAGAGUCUUUCAAGCUCAUGCCAUCAGUUUAUUUCCCACUUUCUGUGAACAGUAUGAUCACUGCUUUUUUUCAUUCCCAUCUGCUGUCUCAACUUCAGCAGAGGUCACACCAUGGGCCAGCCUGGACUGACUGGAUUUAAAUUUGUCCCUUAUUUCUCCAUGACAGAAGUGGCAUUUCAGAUACGUCCUUUUCUAUCGUAACUGAGAACUAAAGCUUUGAACCAGGUUCUGAUGAUCUUAUGGCUCACAUCCAUAACAUUCCUGCUUUCUGGGCUCGACCAAUGCAGUUAGGAUGAUAAAGUAAAAUAAUUUUAUCUAAUUUAUGGCUUUUAUCCUUAGCAGUCUCUUCAGCCUCCUUUUGUUUCCUGCUUCUCUGUCGUUUCAAAUAAGUUAACUGCUCUUUGCUUUCCCAGUGCCCUCCUUGACCCACCUGCCCUAUCCAUCUCUUUCACUAGGAAAUUGCUUGUCCCUCCCACGGGCAGUAAUUCCAGAAUUUCCUCUGUAGCCAAGAAGUCAUUUCACCCACAAAGCUGUCUCCUAAAUCUCCUGAAGAUGCUGUGAGUGGAUCCUUGUUUUCCUGUCCCAUGCACAGAUACGGUGAGCACGACCAACGCAGCCGGCUCUUUGCUUCCACCUCCUCCUGCCUGUCUGUUGGGCUGGUUUGUCCCCAGCUGUCACUUCCCUGCCCUGGGGUUGCUCUUUUCAUCCACAUUUAUGCACAGCCAAUUUCAGUGGGUUUUUAUUCCAUGCUUCAGCUUUCUAUAAGCUACACAAAAUAAUAGUUGGCUGUUUUGUCUCUGCUUGUACUGAUUCUUCAGUCCCUGAAGACCAACAUCUUCCUUGCAAUAGACACGAGUCGUUUUUAGCUCAACAACUUCAGUACGAAAAAACGGGUCAGAAACAUCAACAUCACCUUUCAGGUAGAAAAUCAAUAUGAAAAUAAUGAAAUUGAAAAAAACAAUUUCAAAUAAAGCCCAAGGUGAUCCAACACAGGUUGUAAAAGUCAGAAUAAAUGGCCAACCAAACAACCACUGCAGAGUCGUAACUUAAAGAGAAGCUUGACUUUGGGGAAGAGCAAUGUUUAUAGAGAGGCUAAUUUAAUUUUAUUGAAUACUAUUAAAAUACCUAUUAAAAGUUACAAGUUGUAGUCCAGAAUUCUGCAGUGCAGCUCAGAGGAGAGCAAGCAUGGGCUGUGAGCUGGCCUGACAUGGUGAUCUAUUUCUGAUAUCAUAUAAAAUAAGCUAUUUCAAGAGCGCAUUUCCAGGCAAGCUGCCUGGGUGGAGCCCUGCCCUCACUGCAAUCAACAGUUUUGUCAGUGACACUGGUGAAAUGACGUUUUCCUCUUGUUUUUAGCCUCUGCAAGAUUAAAUAUUGGGCCAGGAAACCCGUAUCAGUUCUAUUGCAUGCAAUACCAGUGAUUUUAAACACAAUAUCUGCUUAGGAUGAUUAUUAAAUGGAAUUUGAAAAGUGAUUUAUUAAGAUAAAUUAUUUUUUUUUUGUUUAUUGCCCAGAUUUCCUAAUUGUGCCAUGUUACUUUGUAUGGUAGCUGCCUCUGCUGUACCAGGACAAAAUAUACACUUAAGCCUUUGGGCAUGAGAGGUGAGUCGUUUCCAUUCCCCAUCCCACUGGAAAAUCAACAAAAGCAAGCCUUUAAUAGUAUGAAUUCCAUUAUGGCCCAGCCUGGCAAGCACCUAAAUCCUGCAAGUGCUAUGAUAAUUUAUCUUUGAACUCGUUAGUAGCACAGCAUAAUUAACAAGUAAGCUGUAGGAACAUGCCGUCGCUCUGUAUUUACACGACAUUUGCUGUGCAGUUGUGGUAUAAUUACAGAGAUUAUACCUGCUCUCUAGAAUAAGAGUACAUGUUGUACCUCAUUUUGUGCCAUUUUACACCAGUGGAGCAGAGCACAGCGUGGUGGAGUUGAACAAGUAUUUCAUUCUGCUGUAGGUAGACGGGUGUGGAUCUGCACAGAGCGCUGCUAUUCAAACCUGCACUGUGGUUUCAGGCAGCUUGGGGUGGCAACCUGGCUUCUGGAGCUCAAGUGAUUUAUAUUUUGGACUGCUGCCCUUUCAGUGAUGUCAGUGAACUUGAAUAUGCAGAUUUAAAAACAGGCAGGCUAGCAUUUGGGUUUUUUCAGUAUAGCAACCUUCCUUUCUCAUGUAUAGUAUUGUAUGUUUCUAUAGUAAUUACAGGAAAUGCAUGGCAAGAAUGUAUCUUCUUACAAAGAUUUCAUUUUUUAGAUUUGUUUUAUGCCAGCACAUCCCCAUUUCUCUGCCCUAAAACCCCAUUGGCAUCACCGUACCAAAUGUGAAGUCACAUCACGUAGGCACUGGGAAAAAAAUACAAGCAAAUGAUGAAAAGUGCAAAGAAAUAUGCUGUGCCUCUGAGUUGGUCACAUUUUAUGUGAUUCAGCGUAAACUGUUUUCCUGUUUUCAUAGUGGACAGCAAGAGACAAUGGAAGAGAUGCCCAUCCGUGUCCCAUUUAUGGUCACAAGCAUCAUAAUCUAUGAAUUUCAUGACUUUUCCAUUUCCAUUUUCCUACAACCAUCACAGAGUUCUGGGCUGGCAGCUGCAGCAGCCAUUUACAGUAGCUGAAAUACCAGCAGAGCGUUUCCCCUGCACACCACCCAGAGGCAAGGCCUGUAUUUUACAAAUGCCUUCAAAGCAAACAUUUCAGGCCAACUGUGAGGCUUGGGAUUGAAAUUCAUACUCUGGAGUACGACGGCACUUGGUGCCUGAGUUGACUUUUACCUCCUUUUCCAUGUUGUCAGAGUCACUCCAAUGCUUUUCUUUGUGAGAGGGCACAUGGUAACAACCCCUGAAUCUUCCUGAACAGUGCAAUCAUUCUUUUAAACUUUUAUCUUAAAAGACAGUCUUUUAUAGUCUGAGAAGGGCAGUUUCCUCCAUCUAAAAAAAUGGAGAAAUGAGAGCUUUGCACUGACUCCAGCAUGGUCCAGGUCGGACUCUUCAGCUCGGGUUUAGAUACACCCUUGUUUUUCAUUCAAGUGUAACAAUAACCAGGAGAAUCCUGCCAAUAUUUCUGGGAAUGAGGUAAUUUUUAAAUGGUGAAAUUGUGCAUCAUUUCAGUCAUAAUUUGGAACCCAACCACUUCAUCUGCCAUUGAAAGCCUCAUCUCUCACAAGGGAUGUUUUAUGAGACAGAAAUUGUAAUGACGGGAUGAGACAAAAGCUCUGGCGAGGAGCAGACUUGAGUCACAAAGUGGUAAAAUAAUGUUCUCUGUAGGGUUGGAAAGCUGAUCUUCGAGUUAGAAUGGAAAUUUACAGAUGCACGUGAACUGCAGGCAUCUCCAUGAGUGUGUUCCCCAAGUCUUAAAUAAUGUUCAGUGAAAUGUGGUUUCUGCAUGAAUUUUCUGUGUUCAGAAGCAGGAUUGUUCUCGGGGAGAAUACUCAAAACCGGCUCUUUUGAUGUUUUGUUCACAGAAACAGAUACAUCAUGCAAGUUCAUACAUACAGGGAAUGGAACUGGGACGAAUGUUUGAAGACUUCUCCCAACAAAGCACUCCCAAAUGAUUUAUGGCAGGAGUUACUUGCAGAGUGAUUACAACAUGUGUGUCUGGAAAGGAAAUGUUAAAAGGAAAUCAAUCUGCUUGUGGACAAAUAACGAAAAGAGGAAAAGGAAAAAUUCCUCUAACAAAUAUGAAACUGCAAAUUAUUCACUCAGCUCAGUUGGCAACAACCAAUUUUUGUGGUAGUAGGAGCUUGUAGAGUAGGAGGUAACUGUUUGAACAAUGAUUGAUUUGGUAUCUUAUAUUGCAAUUCUGGAAGGGGUUCAACAUCUAAUUUCAAAGCCAUUUUCCUCCUUUUACCCAGUAAAGAAAACAAAAUGAUAGUUGAUGUCUGUGAGCUGUUUUGGGCAGAUAGGAUCUAUUUUGUGUCCUCUGGACACUGACAAUGGCUGGCUCAUACGAAAGAACAGUUAUUUAUUAGAAAAGAUCUCUCUUGCCAGAAAAAAACCCAAUCAAAACCUGCCCGAGGAAGGAUAUUACCUUCGUAAUCCUUUUUGCAUCAUUCCAGAAAAGACACAUGGGUCUGAACUCGGUGCAUCUUUGGGUUGUGGAGCCUUGUGUAAGCUGCACCUCCACCAGCCCAUCUUUCAGUUCACAGUAAUAAAACAAUCACUGAUUUAUUUCCCUCUUGGAAGAAUACAAAACACAUUUUGGACAUCUCUCACCUAAGACCACCUUUUGUCUCUCUUUCCCCACUCUUGGGAGGUAGGCAGCCACCCUGUGAGAGGCUCUGGAAUGCUGCAGUGGGAUGCCAGCAGUGAGUGUUGUCUUCUGCUCAAGACAGAGUGACUGUAGCAUGCUCUGUUUAUGCCUCUGGAGUGGUGGAUCUGAGCUCAGCAUUCAGUUCUCCUUAACUCCUUACAUGUGUAUUCUCAAUUCAAUAUGCAAUUCCUAGUUUAAUUCCUGAGCAGGCACGUGCUGUCUUCCCAAGGCAUAAAGAUGCGAGGGAAUCCACUUCAUCCCUGCUUCUUUACUUCACAAAAACCUUAAAAUGCUAAAUCCAUAAAUAGGCAUUACAGCACAAUCUUUGAGUGAAUGAUCUCCAACAUUACUGCAGAUCUUAGUCAUAGUGAAAGCUUUUACAAGCUACUUUGAGCUAAUGGUAGAAUAGUUUUCAUUUAAAGCAGUGAUGUGUUCCUUCCCACAAAUGCUAAUUGCCAUAAUUCUAUUGUAAGUUCUGGGCUUAGUUCUGGGCUGAGCUGAGUUAGCUCCUUAUAACUUAACACUAAUCAUUGACCAGAGAUUAAUUUUACUAUUUCUGUGGUUUUGGAGAGAGAGUUACCAGGACUGAUACACUUCCAUGUCCACCAAAGGCAACAAUGGAAACAAGGUGUAUUUCUGCAAGAAUGUUCUAGGCAACCUCUUCAAAAACAGAAGGAUGUGCUGCAGAAGGUGAUGUUCAGGAGCCAUUUCACCAGCCCACAAGAAUAUGGGGUGAGGGUAUUUGCAUCCAUCUGAGCUGUGCCCAAACCAUCGUGAGUUCCUGACUCUUAUACCUUUCCUCCCAUGCUGCAAAUCCACAUUAGAUUCAGACUACUUGAAAUGUCUGUGGAUGGCAAUGCCAGUCCACAGCUGGUGAAUGUCCUGCUCACCACUGGGGGCCUUACAGAAUCACAGGAUAUGCUG